CCUGCCCCUAGAGGCGUUGCAGAUGUGGCUGCUGUAUCACAUGUGCAUCAGUAGGUGGCAGAGAAGAGAGAGGCUAUGCCUUCAUUCUGUGUUCUGACCUAUGAACCUCUGAAUGAUUAGUAACCUAACAUU